AUCACUUCUUGGCCUUUUGGCUAAGAACAAGUGUAGUAUCUGUUCUUAUCAGUUUACAAUAGAAGCAUUUUUUUUAUUGCUGAGCUAUAAAAGUUUUUUUUAAUUUAUUCUGAUAAUAUGACCACUCCUC
ensembl:snRNA U2 U2 spliceosomal RNA